GCAUGUGUGUGAGUGUGUGUGUGUGUGUGUGUAUCCCCUCCACUCCCCUGCUCGGGGCACACAUCACGCACAUCCCUGAC
rnacentral:pre_miRNA from 14 species